rnacentral:rRNA from 1 species
GAUGAACGCUGGCGGCGUGCCUAAUACAUGCAAGUAGAACGCUGAAGCUUGGUGCUUGCACCGAGCGGAUGAGUUGCGAACGGGUGAGUAACGCGUAGGUAACCUGCCUCUUAGCGGGGGAUAACUAUUGGAAACGAUAGCUAAUACCGCAUAAAAGUCGAUAUCGCAUGAUAUUGAUUUGAAAGGUGCAAAUGCAUCACUAAGAGAUGGACCUGCGUUGUAUUAGCUAGUUGGUGAGGUAACGGCUCACCAAGGCGACGAUACAUAGCCGACCUGAGAGGGUGAUCGGCCACACUGGGACUGAGACACGGCACAGACUCCUACGGGAGGCAGCAGUAGGGAAUCUUCGGCAAUGGGGGCAACCCUGACCGAGCAACGCCGCGUGAGUGAAGAAGGUUUUCGGAUCGUAAAGCUCUGUUGUAAGAGAAGAACGAGUGUGAGAGUGGAAAGUUCACACUGUGACGGUAACUGACCAGAAAGGGACGGCUAACUACGUG